GGUUUUUUAUAUACUUAUACGCCAUUUUUUAUUUAAAUAAAAAUAAAACUCGAAAAAUGAAUACUUAUUUAAAAAUUACAUCGUCCUUCCGCACAUGCUACAAAAUUUAGUCAAAGAUUUCUCAUAGACUCUCUCUCUCUCUCUAGAUAUGACGUUAUUCUGCCAUUCCCCACGUUACUCUGCUUCUAUAAAUACAUCCACCACUUUUCAUUAUUUUCUCCCUCACCACACAUCAUCACCUCUCCUCUGUUUUUACUCCUCUCUGUUUUCACAUGUGUGUUUCUGUGUGUGUGAAUUCUCAAAUUUCAUGCAUGCACUUUUAAUUUUGGAGUGCGGCGGCGCCGGCGAGUAUGGAGAGCCCGUAAAGCUCAGGAGGGAUAGCGCCGCUGCCGAUCUCGAUUCUCGCGGCGGCGGAGGUGGCGGCGCGUGGAUCUCGAUUGGUGGCGCUAUCCAUCCUGAGUUUCAUUGGAGCUGCUGCUGGCAGGUGGUACCUUGGGAGUGAGUAAUGAGUUGUACGUUUUCCUUUUUAAUGAUCGAUCAUCUACUCCAAUGUGACUAUGUGAGGGCUUUUUGUAUUUUUAUUUCUUUUGCAUAUUUAUAAUUUUAUGGAUUUGGAAAAAAAUUGAAGUUGUGUAUACGAAGGAGUAGUAAUUUUUACAAUUUUUCGUGUUUGGUGUGUAAUUUAUUUAAUUGCAUAUACCACUUCACGUUGAACGUUAUUAUUAUUAUUAAUAAUUUUUUUUUCCGGCGAUUAUUAUUAUUUA